rnacentral:rRNA from 1 species
AGCCGCGGUAAUACGUAGGGGGCAAGCGUUGUCCGGAAUUAUUGGGCGUAAAGGGUGCGUAGGCGGCCUUUUAAGUCAGAUGUGAAAGACCACGGCUUAACCGUGGGGUUGCAUUUGAAACUGGAGGGCUUGAGUAUCGGAGAGGGUAGUGGAAUUCCCAGUGUAGCGGUGGAAUGCGUAGAUAUUGGGAGGAACACCAGUGGCGAAGGCGACUACCUGGACGAAAACUGACGCUGAGGCACGAAAGCUAGGGGAGCAAACAGGAUUAGAUACCCUGGUAGUCCUAGCCGUAAACGAUGGGUACUAGGUGUAGGAGGUUUCGAUACCUUCUGUGCCGCAGUUAACGCAAUAAGUACCCCGCCUGGGGAGUACGUGCGCAAGCAUGAAACUCAAAGGAAUUGACGGGGGCCCGCACAAGCGGUGGAGCAUGUGGUUUAAUUCGAAGCAACGCGAAGAACCUUACCAGGUCUUGACAUCCCUUGACCACCUCAGAGAUGAGGUUUCUCUUCGGAGCAAGGAGACAGGAGGUGCAUGGCC